rnacentral:rRNA from 1 species
CCUACGGGAGGCAGCAGUGGGGAAUAUUGGGCAAUGGGCGCAAGCCUGACCCAGCAACGCCGCGUGAAGGAAGAAGGCUUUCGGGUUGUAAACUUCUUUUCUCAGGGACGAAGAAAGUGACGGUACCUGAGGAAUAAGCCACGGCUAACUACGUGCAAGCAGCCGCGGUAAUACGUAGGUGGCAAGCGUUAUCCGGAUUUACUGGGUGUAAAGGGCGUGUAGGCGGGACUGCAAGUCAGAUGUGAAAACCACGGGCUCAACCUGUGGCCUGCAUUUGAAACUGUAGUUCUUGAGUACUGGAGAGGCAGACGGAAUUCCUAGUGUAGCGGUGAAAUGCGUAGAUAUUAGGAUGAACACCAGUGGCGAAGGCGGCUUACUGGACUGUAACUGACGUUGAGGCUCGAAAGCGUGGGGAGCAAACAGGAUUAGAUACCCUUGUAGUC